AACCUACGGGGCGCAGCAGUGGGGGAUAUUGGACAAUGGGGGGAACCCUGAUCCAGCGACGCCGCGUGAGUGAAGAAGUAUUUCGGUAUGUAGAGCUCUGUCAGCAGGGAAGAAAGAAAUGACAGUACCUGACUAAGAAGCCCCGGCUAACUACGUGCCAGCAGCCGCGGUAAUACGUAGGGGGCAAGCGUUAUCCGGAUUCACUGGGCGUAAAGGGAGCGCAGGCGGCAUGGCAAGUCUGAUGUGAAAACCCGGGGCCCAACCCCGGGAGUGCAUUGGAAACUGCCAGGCUGGAGUGUCGGAGG
rnacentral:rRNA from 1 species